UACGGAGGGAGCUAGCGUUGUUCGGAUAUACUGGGCGUAAAGCGCACGUAGGCGGCUUACUAAGUCAGGGGUGAAAUCCUGGAGCUCAACUCCAGAACUGCCUUUGAUACUGGUGAGCUUGAGUCCGGAAGAGGUGAGUGGAACUGCGAGUGUAGAGGUGAAAUUCGUAGAUAUUCGCAAGAACACCAGUGGCGAAGGCG
rnacentral:rRNA from 1 species